rnacentral:rRNA from 1 species
UACGUAGGGUGCAAGCGUUAAUCGGAAUUACUGGGCGUAAAGCGUGCGCAGGCGGCCAUGCAAGACAGAUGUGAAAUCCCCGGGCUCAACCUGGGAACUGCAUUUGUGACUGCAUGGCUAGAGUACGGCAGAGGGGGAUGGAAUUCCGCGUGUAGCAGUGAAAUGCGUAGAUAUGCGGAGGAACACCGAUGGCGAAGGCAAUCCCCUGGGCCUGUACUGACGCUCAUGCACGAAAGCGUGGGGAGCAAACAGG